UUUCUGUUGCUGGUGCCAGAGGCACCAGCAGGGGAGGUGGGGGUGGGGAGAGAAAGACAGACGCACUCUUAGCUUACAUCCCAGGAAGUCUGUCUUCAGAUAUGGCUGGAUGCAGGGACACAGAUGGACUUUGCUGUCAUGGCAGAGACUGCUGGUAGCCCAUGCUUACAUCAUGCCAGCUUGUCAAGCCAAGCAGAAGCAUCUCUGUAACAGGCCCAUCAAGAUCUGAUGGGCUUACGCCCUCGGUGGCGUGACCACUGGUUCCAGAAGAGAGAAGAAUGAACUUCAGAACAGGAUGAUCUCCUCGGCCACACUCAACACAGCACCGAAUCUGUGCAUCUCAAGCCCAUCCCAGCCCCACCUCCAGCCCCUCUCCAGGGAAGAAACCUCCUGUCAUUCCACCUUGCCCUCCCAGAGUUACCCUGACUCAGGUGUCGGGCAGCAGAACCAGCUGCAGACAUACAAAGAGCAACUUUUUCCGCUGAGGGAAAGCAGCCUGUGCCUCUGGGGCCUUGCCAGGAUGGAAUCCAAGCUUGGAGACAGCAGCCUCUACACUGUCCGGGCCAAUACCUGCCAGGAGGGAAAUGAGAAACUCUCGCUGGGAACUGCGUGGCUCUGCUCCGAGACCUCUGGCCACAAAUGACUGCUUAUCAUUUGUGGGCUGGUCCCAGCAGGGGGAAGCAGAGCCUGAUCCCUCUUGUCUAGAGCCAUUUCCAGUGCAGGAGGCCCUGGUUUUGUCCAGGGACACUGCAGGUCUGUGGGAGAAAGAGAGGCAUGUGUCCCAGCCCCAGGCCUGGCCUCUGUGGGUGGAGAUAAAGAGAUCAGAUUCUCUUGGAGACCUCUUCCUGUUCCCCAAGUGCUUGCCAAAGCUCCAAAACAGCUCUAUUCAGGGUGAUAAGGGGGUGACAGAGCCAAAGGCCCCAGGGACAGCCCCAGCCAGAUGGUAGAUGGCCUCAGCCUGAGACAGUGAGGGAGGAGUGGAAUCGGACCCAUUCAUCCUGACAUGCAAGAGCCUUGGACAAGGAGGAAGCAGCUGGGCUCCAGGCUGCCUUCUGAAUCCUAUGUCCACAGUGAUUAUUUUAAAUUAUUAAAAAUUACAUAUAAUAAGAGUGUGUGUGUGUGUGUGUGUGUGUGUGUGUGAUGUAGAGGUCAGGACAACUUUCAAGAGUUGGUUCUCUUCUUCCGUCAUGUGUAUACUGGGGGUUGAACCCAAGGUUUAAUGCUUUGCAGCAAACAUCUUUACAUCAGUAGCCUCGGAUGACUUUAAAUGCUUGCAGGGAAUGGAGUGAUGGCUAGGCAGUUAAGAGUGCUUGCUGCACAAUCAUGAGGACUGGAGUUGAUCCCAGUGCCCAUAUGACAAGGUAGGCAGCCCCCCAAAAUGUUUUUAACUCCAGCUCCAAGGAAUCUGUGCCUUCUGGCUCUCUCUCCCUCACACACACACAUAUACAUGAACACCUGCUCCCAUAUACUCAUAUAGACACACAAACAUAAAUAAAACAAAUCUUUUUUUAAACUAAAGAAUAUUUGCAGCAGAUUGGGGUUAUGAAUUCAUAGUCUCUUAGAGCCCUGAAUCCAGAAGGCCACUCCCCCAAUACAAGGAGCCAUCAAGGCCUCUAUGAUUUAUCCAUAGAGAAGCUCAGGCACUGCCCGCUCCACAUGCUUUCUGAAGAAGCCUUGAAGGAAUGAUACUGUUACAGACUAAAUGUGCUACUUGGCUUCCAGAUUCCCAGGUUGGAGUCCCAUCACUACUGCUUCAGAAUGUGGCCUUAUUAGCAAGA